UGGUCUCUCCACUUAUCUGCUGGUACCUCCAAACCAUCCCACACCAUCUCAAAGUACUUUCACCUCUUCUCUGCUCAGAAGUGGCCAGUUAAGGGUUUCCUUAAGCUCUGUCACUUCUAAAGAAGGAUGUUAUAAGAACUAUAAAAAUGGUAGUAGAUGACUGAGGCAGAGAAAUGACUGCAAUCCCCAUGAGCCAUGAGGGGUCCUUCAUGAAGUCCCAGAUCAAGGUAGAGCUCCACCAGGAGGCGUGAGGACUGUGUAGCUCCUCACCAGGCCCUGGGCACCUCACCCGUGCUGAACACUGGCUCAGUGUGAGUCAUGGUUGCCCUUGCAGAUUUAUUUUUAUUGCAGUUGAUAAACUAACUUUUAGUUGCCACCAGUUGAAAAUCUUGUCAUUUUCUUGGUUCAGCCAUAUCUGGUUUUAUGUCCCAUUCUUAUUUCUUAAGCUAAAUAUGUUUGGGUCCUAUUAAUGAAUUAAAAGAAAUUCAAUUUUUGUAUAGUACCUCAUGCACUCCUAGAGAGAAGCAGGUGACUCCAUCUGAUGUUGUCAGUUAAUUCAAUGGAGAAUGUUGCAUUUUUCCACCCUACUCUUAAUCCCUUUCUGACCCACAUAAAAUGUCAACAUAAAUGGUAUUGUAUUUUCAAUAAAUAUGUUUUGGAGUGUUUUCUUCUUGAUUCUUAAACUUUGUGCAUUUUAUGAAAUGCUUGAAAUAUGUUUAUGAGAUAUAUUUUGUAGUUACCUUUACUUUUUUAUUGUAUGAAACUGUAUCAUUUGGGUUUUCCAUCCAAAUAGUUGUAUGAGAAAUAUGACCAUCCCAGAUGUCCUGUAUUUGAAAUUUUAUGUUUAUUUUAGAAUUUCUGAAUUUGUGGUACCAAAGUCAAAGGAUUUUCAUUGGGAAUUAAAUAAUAUUGUGUUUGUUUUCAUUGUUCUUGGUACAGAGGGUGAAUAUUCCAACAAUAAAAGGGAAAAGAGCUUUGGAAGUUUGCAUUUGUGGAGCCAGCCAAAGCCUAUUUUCCACUGAUGUAACUAAGAAGAAAGUUGGCUUUCUUUUUUUCCUGGGGAUACUCAUGAAUAUCUAUGGUUUUGAGCAACUGACUCUUUAUUUGAAAUGAGGAUAGGUCAUUUGUUGGAAUUCUGUGGAGCUUCCAUUAUAUGCUAAGAUGUUGGCUCUUACACUGAGCAGACCUUCCUGACCAUCUCAGGCUUCUUAUAAAGACUUUGUGUUGCUGUCUUGGAUUCAGUCAGAUCACCUGCUUCCUAAGAGUAUCGGUCAGGAGUGCCUGAAUCCUGAGGAGAAUGGACUCUCCACGUAUCCUGGUACCUGGUUUGAUCCUGAGAUGCAGAAAGGCGAGGGAGACAUUUUUAAAGUCAGCAUCCAUCAAAGUUGAGGAUGCCUUGGGUGAUCACUUUUAUAAAGGUGAUUGAAGCAAUUUCAAAGGAAUCCUAGUAGCUACAAGAGUGACUCAGUCAACAAAGGCCGACACGUUAAGAGAUUUGACAUUUAUCCUAAUGAACGUUUGAAAGCAGUGUGUAAUUUCACUGGACAAUUUACU
rnacentral:lncRNA from 1 species